AUUGAACGCUGGCGGCAGGCCUAACACAUGCAAGUCGAGCGGAUGACGGGAGCUUGCUCCUUGAUUCAGCGGCGGACGGGUGAGUAAUACCUAGGAAUCUGCCUGAUAGUGGGGGACAACGUUUCGAAAGGAACGCUAAUACCGCAUACGUCCUACGGGAGAAAGCAGGGGACCUUCGGGCCUUGCGCUAUCAGAUGAGCCUAGGUCGGAUUAGCUAGUUGGUGAGGUAAUGGCUCACCAAGGCGACGAUCCGUAACUGGUCUGAGAGGAUGAUCAGUCACACUGGAAAUGAGGCACGGUCCAGGCUCCUACGGGAGGCAGCAGUGGGGAAUAUUGGACAAUGGGCGAAAGCCUGAUCCAGCCAUGCCGCGUGUGUGAAGAAGGUCUUCGGAUUGUAAAGCACUUUAAGUUGGGAGGAAGGGCAGUAAGCUAAUACCUUGCUGUUUUGACGUUACCGACAGAAUAAGCACCGGCUAACUCUGUGCCAGCAGCCGCAGUAAUAC
rnacentral:rRNA from 1 species